UGCAUUUUCACCUCCCCUUUCCCUUUCCAGCUUCACGUGUUGGCAGAGCCUUUGGAGAGCCACAACCCAAAAUCCUGUUCAGGGCUGGAUUCCCACCAGUGCCUGACCAUCAAGAGCUUUCUGGUGUUGUCACAGCCAUGGGCUCCUCUCUGGCACCAGCUGGAAUUUAUCCACGAUGGGAGUGACUUCUGCCACCUUCCCACCCUGCAGCUCCCACAGAAAACCAAACCUGGGAUCGUGGAUCACUCUGCAAAACCCUGCAGCUUGUUUUGGAUCUGUGACCCAGCCACAGCAGUGCCCGAGGGCAGCGAUUUGGACGGAGACAUCACAGAUAAAAACCCUUAUCUGGCCCUCUCUGCAAUCAAUGAGAUGCUUCAGCCUCCUCAGCAAGGCAGGGCAGCAACAGCUUUAUCACAGCUGCCACCCGUGGGGAGUUUUGGGGAGAGAUCAUAAAUUCAUGCAAACCCCCUCAAAAAUUCACAGAAACCCACA